rnacentral:lncRNA from 1 species
AGUCAUUAGUGAAGAGAUCGUGUGUGAACAGAAAAUGUUCUAACCCUGAGCACUAGGGGGCAGCAGUGAGUCAGACCGGAAGUGAGCGCUGUGCUGUGUUGCUGUGUUAGCGUUAGCUCUGAACAGAAGUGAGACACUCUUUUCCCCAAAGCUUCGCCUUAAAGCGGACAGAGCGCAGUGAAACAUGGCAGAAGUGAAGCUGAAGGAGGAGCAGGAGCUGUGGGAGCCCGCAGAGGUGGAAAACAGAACAAUCAAAGAGGACCCAGACUGUGGAGGUGUUGAGAGUCCACAUGAGGCUGCUCCCAGUCUGGUCCAGAUUAAAGAGGAACCAACGGAGAUUCAAAUCAAACAGGAGUCGAUCCAAGUUUUCCCAGUCAUCGUCUCUGUGAGGAGUGAGAAAGAAGAGUCUCUGCUUCAUGAAACAGUGAAAGAAGAGAACAGAGAGGACAGAGCAGAAGUGGAUAAUUCCUCUGACACUGACGACUCUGCAGACUGGACUCCUUCAGCUGAAAGUCCCACUCCACAAACAAACACUGAACAGGUGCAGGAGCCGGCUCAAGGAACAAUGUGAUUGAAGAGGGAGGUCCAGACAAACUGCACAAAUGUUCUCACUGUGGGAAGAGGUUUUCGACUCCUUCCAAUUUAAGGAUCCAUGUACGAACUCACACAGGAGAGAAGCCAUUCAAGUGUUCUGUUUGUGGGAAAAGUUUUUCACGAAAUGGUUCUCUGACAAACCACAUGAGGACUCACACGGGCGAGAAACCAUUCAAAUGCUCUGUUUGUUCAAUUAGUUUUUCACAAAAGGUUAAUCUGAUGAGCCACAUGAGGAAUCACACAGGAGAUAAACCAUUCAGAUGCCCUGUUUGUGCAAUUAGUUGUUCACAAAUAGUUAUCUGACAAAACACAUGAGGACCCACACAGGGGAGAAACCAUUCAGAUGCUCUGUUUGUGGAAAGAGGUUUUCACAAAAAGUUGUGUGACAAACCACAUGAGGACUCACACGGGCGAGAAACCAUUCAGAUGCUCUGUUUGUUCAAUUAGUUUUUCACAAAAGGGUAAUCUGACAAAACACAUGAGGCUCCAUGUAAAAGAGAAAAAUGAAACAUUUACAACCAAUUCAUCCAAGUGUUACUUACUUUUAAGUCCAAUAUACUUAUAUACAUUAUAAUUAAAAUAGUCCACAUGACCAUUUAUAUAAUUUACAACAAGCAUACUAUUUUUUUGUCAAUAGCCUAAACAAUUUCUUGCUAUUUGCUCUUAAUUUAAUUGUGGGUUAGUCUGUUUGUGAGAUAAGUUCUAAUCUUUAUCCAAAACAUUCCCAAACAUAUAAGCCUCCUAAACUGAGCUGCAACGACUCUUGUCUCUUUACAAGCAGCACACGGCUCACCUUCAUCUCUGUGGAGGCAAAGAUGUGUGAAUCUGGAGGUGAGGAAAUUUCUGUAUUAACUGCAUCAGAUUAUGUAGCAGCAAGGGAAUAGAGUGAUUAGGGCUGCGGCUAACACAAUGUUAACGGAGAAAAAGCAAUAGUCCUUUGCGGUGACUGCAUUAUAAACUUUCAUAUUUUCACUGCACAUCCAUGAUCUACGGCGUAACUUAACUAGACUGAGAAGUAAACAAAAGCAUGCGGCUGAGCGGAUGUCGCCGGCAUAUUUUGCCGCUCCAUGAACUUCUAUGGGCCGCGCCCCAUAGAAGUAAAUGGAGGAGACCAGUGGUUUCCAACCUGGGCCGCCCCCAUGUUGGAAACCACUGUCUAUUACCUUAUU